rnacentral:rRNA from 1 species
AAAUCGUACCCCAAACCGACACAGGUGGUCAGGUAGAGAAUACCAAGGCGCUUGAGAGAACUCGGGUGAAGGAACUAGGCAAAAUGGUGCCGUAACUUCGGGAGAAGGCACGCUGAUAUGUAGGUGAAGUGAUUUACUCAUGGAGCUGAAAUCAGUCGAAGAUACCAGCUGGCUGCAACUGUUUAUUAAAAACACAGCACUGUGCAAACACGAAAGUGGACGUAUACGGUGUGACGCCUGCCCGGUGCCGGAAGGUUAAUUGAUGGGGUUAUCCUCGCGGAGAAGCUCUUGAUCGAAGCCCCGGUAAACGGCGGCCGUAACUAUAACGGUCCUAAGGUAGCGAAAUUCCUUGUCGGGUAAGUUCCGACCUGCACGAAUGGCGUAAUGAUGGCCAGGCUGUCUCCACCCGAGACUCAGUGAAAUUGAACUCGCUGUGAAGAUGCAGUGUACCCGCGGCAAGACGGAAAGACCCCGUGAACCUUUACUAUAGCUUGACACUGAACACUGGUCCUUGAUGUGUAGGAUAGGUGGGAGGCUUUGAAGUGUGGACGCCAGUCUGCAUGGAGCCGCCCUUGAAAUACCACCCUUUAAUGGCUGGUGUUCUAACGUGGGCCCGUAAUCCGGGUUGCGGACAGUGUCUGGUGGGUAGUUUGACUGGGGCGGUCUCCUCCUAAAGAGUAACGGAGGAGCACGAAGGUCAGCUAAUCCUGGUCGGACAUCAGGAGGUUAGUGCAAUGGCAUAAGCUGGCUUGACUGCGAGCGUGACGGCGCGAGCAGGUGCGAAAGCAGGUCAUAGUGAUCCGGUGGUUCUGAAUGGAAGGGCCAUCGCUCAACGGAUAAAAGGUACUCCGGGGAUAACAGGCUGAUACCGCCCAAGAGUUCAUAUCGACGGCGGUGUUUGGCACCUCGAUGUCGGCUCAUCACAUCCUGGGGCUGAAGUAGGUCCCAAGGGUAUGGCUGUUCGCCAUUUAAAGUGGUACGCGAGCUGGGUUUAGAACGUCGUGAGACAGUUCGGUCCCUAUCUGCCGUGGGCGCUGGAGAACUGAGGGGGGCUGCUCCUAGUACGAGAGGACCGGAGUGGACGCAUCACUGGUGUUCGGGUUGUCAUGCCAAUGGCACUGCCCGGUAGCUAAAUGCGGAAGAGAUAAGUGCUGAAAGCAUCUAAGCACGAAACUUGCCCCGAGAUGAGUUCUCCCUGACUCCUUGAGAGUCCUGAAGGAACGUUGAAGACGACGACGUUGAUAGGCCGGGUGUGUAAGCGCAGCGAUGCGUUGAGCUAACCGGUACUAAUGAACCGUGAGGCUUAACCUU